rnacentral:rRNA from 1 species
UACGGAGGGAGCUAGCGUUGUUCGGAUUUACUGGGCGUAAAAGGCGCGUAGGCGGCAGAUCAAGUCAGCUGUGAAAUCUCCGAGCUUAACUCGGAACUGUCAGCUGAUACUGUUUGCUAGAGUGCGGAAGGGGCAAUCGGAAUUCUUGGUGUAGCGGUGAAAUGCGUAGAUAUCAAGAGGAACACCUGAGGUGAAGACGGGUUGCUGGGCCGACACUGACGCUGAGUGCGCGAAAGCCAGGGGAGCAAACGGG